rnacentral:rRNA from 1 species
UAGCGUAGGGGGCAAGCGUUUGUCCGGGAUUUAUUGGGCGUAAAGAGCGUGUAGGCGGUUUGGUAGGUCCGCUGUGAAAACUCGAGGCUCAACCUCGAGACGCCGGUGGAAACCAUCAGGCUAGAGUCCGGAAGAGGAGAGUGGAAUUCCUGGUGUAGCGGUGAAAUGCGCAGAUAUCAGGAAGAACACCCGUGGCUAAGGCGGCUCUCUAGUACGGUACUGACGCUGAGACGCGAAAGCGUGGGGAGCGAACAGG